rnacentral:rRNA from 1 species
UACGGAGGAUGCGAGCGUUAUCCGGAUUUAUUGGGUUUAAAGGGUGCGUAGGCGGGAUGCCAAGUCAGCGGUAAAAAUGCGGUGCUCAACGCCGUCGAGCCGUUGAAACUGGCGUUCUUGAGUGGGCGAGAAGUAUGCGGAAUGCGUGGUGUAGCGGUGAAAUGCAUAGAUAUCACGCAGAACUCCGAUUGCGAAGGCAGCGUACCGGCGCCCUACUGACGCUGAGGCACGAAAGCGUGGGUAUCGAACAGG